rnacentral:misc_RNA from 1 species
GAUGAAGAACGUAGCGAAAUGCGAUACUUGGUGUGAAUUGCAGAAUCCCGUGAACCAUCGAGUCUUUGAACGCAAGUUGCGCCCGAAGCCUCGGCUAAGGGCACGUCUGCCUGGGCGUCACGCAUCGCGUCUCCCCCAAACCGCCAAGGCGGAGGGGAAGGAAGAUGGCUUCCCGUGCCUCACCCGGGCGCGGUUGGCCUAAAUUUGGAGCCCGCGGCACUUAGCUCUCGCGGCGAUAGGUGGUGAACAAGGCCUUGGCCGUGCAAACAACCCGCUGCGAAGCUCUAUGUCACGUGCGCUCGUCGGACCCUUUGAAGUUGCCUUUGGUGACUUAAAACCUUUGCGACACCAGGUCAGGCGGGGCUACCCGCUGAAUUUAAGCAUAUCAAAAGCGGAGGA